rnacentral:rRNA from 1 species
CUGGUCGAGUGACUCUGCGCCGAAAAUUUAACGGGGCUAAACUAUACACCGAAGCUUGGGAUACAUCUAAUGUAUGGUAGGAGAGCGUUCUGUAAGGGGUGAAGUCGUAGCGAAAGCGGCGGUGGACUUUACAGAAGUGAGAAUGCCGGAAUAAGUAGCGAGAAUUAAGUGAGAAUCUUAAUGGCCGAAAGUCUAAGGUUUUUGGAGGAAGGUUCGUCCGCUCCAAGUAAGUCGGGAGCUAAGGUCAGGCCGAAAGGCGUAGCCGAUGCACAUACGGUUGAUAUUCCGUAACCAUCUGUAAUUUAAGCAAAGGGACACUUCAAAAGGGUGUGACCCGGGCGUUGGUUGACCCGGGCGUAAGGGACCGAAAUUAGAGUAGGGAAGCAUACUUAGCUGAAGGCGAGAAAAGCUUUGCGUAUAGAAGCAGAUGCCCGUACCGCAAACCGACACAGGUGGACAGGAAGAGAAUUCUAAGGCCAGCGGGAGAAGGGUAGUUAAGGAACUCGGCAAAUUGACUCCGUAACUUCGGAAUAAGGAGUGCUCGAAAGAGCCGCAGAGAAUAGGCCCAGGCGACUGUUUAGCAAAAACACAGGUCUCUGCCAAAUCGAAAGAUGAAGUAUAGGGGCUGACACCUGCCCGGUGCCGGAAGGUUAAGAGGAGGAGUGAGAGCUCCGAAUUGAAGCCCCGGUAAACGGCGGCCGUAACUAUAACGGUCCUAAGGUAGCGAAAUUCCUUGUCGGGUAAGUUCCGACCCGCACGAAUGGUGUAACGAUCUGGGCACUGUCUCAACUACCCACCCGGCGAAAUUGUAGUACCGGUGAAGAUGCCGGUUACCUGCGGCAAGACGGAAAGACCCCAUGGAGCUUUACUGUAGCCUGAUAUUGGGUUUCGGAAAUCUAUGUACAGGAUAGGCGGGAGACUGGGAAACAUGAGCGUCAGCUUGUGUGGAGUCGAUGUUGGGAUACCGCCCUUAGGUUUCUGGAAUUCUAACCUGCGGCCGUGAAUCCGGUCGGGGGACAUUGUCAGGUGGGCAGUUUGACUGGGGCGGUCGCCUCCGAAAAGGUAACGGAGGCGCUCAAAGGUUAGCUCAGCACGGACGGAAACCGUGCCUCUGAGUGUAAACGCAAAAGCUAGCCUAACUGCGAGGGUGACGGCCCGAGCAGUAACGAAAGUUGGAGUUAGUGAUCCGGCGGUAU